rnacentral:rRNA from 1 species
UACGAAGGGGGCUAGCGUUGUUCGGAAUUACUGGGCGUAAAGGGUCCGUAGGUGGCUUGCUAAGUCAGACGUGAAAUCCCUCGGCUUAACCGGGGAACUGCGUCUGAGACUGGCGAGCUUGAGUGCAGGAGAGGAACGCGGAAUUCCAGGUGUAGCGGUGAAAUGCGUAGAUAUCUGGAGGAACACCGGUGGCGAAGGCGGCGUUCUGGACUGCAACUGACACUGAAAGACGAAAGCCAGGGGAGCAAACGGG